rnacentral:rRNA from 1 species
UACGUAGGGGGCAAGCGUUGUCCGGAUUCAUUGGGCGUAAAGAGCGUGUAGGCGGCCAGGUAGGUCGGUUGUGAAAACUGGAGGCUCAACCUUCAGACGUCGACCGAAACCCCCUGGCUAGAGUCCGGGAGAGGAGAGUGGAAUUCCUGGUGUAGCAGUGAAAUGCGCAGAUAUCAGGAAGAACACCCGUGGCGAAAGCGGCUCUCUGGAACGGUACUGACGCUGAGACGCGAAAGCGUGGGGAGCGAACAGG